CUGGCAUGCUGUUAGUGUCAAUGGUUGUGUCUGUGGAGGACAAGAACUCUGACUGUCACUGCAGACUGUUGGCAGCCAAGCCUGCAGCACCUCUGUCUCUCCUAAUCAUCCUGCAUAAUUAAUGGAGAGAAGAAGGGAUUAUCUGAAUGCCAGUGGGCUGCUCAAGGAAGGGAGAUCAGAACCUGUCUCCACUUGGGUCCGCUGAUCACCAGCAAUAGUAACUAUGUGGAGGAUGGAGAAUCAACUUCUGAUCCCUUAGUAGACAUUAAGGGAUACUUGAACAAGAAGUAUUAUGGCGGCAAGAGAUACAAAGGCGUGCAAGGAUGUGGAAAGGAAAGAGCAGCACUUCCUUUGUCUUCCCUUUUCCCUACCUAUUAGCAAACUUCUUCA
ensembl:lncRNA